rnacentral:lncRNA from 1 species
UCAUCAUAUGCCCAACUGAGUUGGUCGCGCCUUGAGGAAGAGUACACAUUCUAACCAAUCCAAGUAGUGUUCUCAUUGUUGUCAUAUCUCUACUUUCUUCGGCAACUUGAAAUUGAUCAUAACCUGAAUACAAGUCACCCAUUGAAUAGAUCGCCCUUCCAGCAAAUGCCUCAGCAAAUUCAUCCACAAUAGGUCCAAUUC